GCUCUGGGAUAGCUCAGUUGGUAGAACGUGAGGCUUUUAAUCUCAAGGUUGUGGGUUCAAGCCCCAUGUUGGGCA
rnacentral:tRNA from 1 species